rnacentral:rRNA from 1 species
UACGGAGGGUGCAAGCGUUGCUCGGAAUUAUUGGGCGUAAAGGGGAGGUAGGUGGUCUGAUUUGUCUAGGGUGAAAUCCUUGGGCUUAACUCAAGAAGUGCCCUGGAAACGGUGAGACUCGAGUACUGGAGAGGCUAGCGGAAUUCCCGGUGUAGCGGUGAAAUGCGCAGAUAUCGGGAGGAACACCGGUGGCGAAGGCGGUUCUCUGGGCCUGUACUGACGCUGAGGAGCGAAAGCGUGGGGAGCGAACAGG